AUGGAGAGAAGAAAACCGCACUCAGCUUCCACGGAGAAAAUGGGCCGACCCCAUCCGCCUUCAUCUAGCCACACUGCGGCUACACUGAUUUUCCCAUCCAUUCCAAGGGUUUUUAGCCCCUCGCCCUGCCCCCUGCCGCGCCGCAGCAAUGGCCGCCGCCGCCGCCGCCGCCGCGAGAUCCUUCCUCCGAUCCGGAUCCGCCACCUCCUCCCUCCGCGGCGCGGCCGCCAGGGCCGCCUCCCGCUCCGGGCCGGCAGCCCCCUCGAGGCGGCUCCUCUCCUCUCCUCCCCGCGCCCGCCUCGCCCUAAGGUCGCCGCUGGAGAUGAGCAGCGCCUGCUUGGAGUCGCUGAUGCCCAUGCACAGCGCCACGGCCUCGGCGCUCAUGACGUCGCUCCUCGCCGCCCCGGCUCGCGUCGGUUCCUGCUGGAUCUCCGAAGAUCAUUGAGAUCAGUGAGGAUGGAGGUCACGGAUGAAGAUGCAUGCUAUUUUUUUACCACUCGUAUUUCUUUUGCUUUAUCAAAUGCACAUGGCUGA
rnacentral:rRNA from 1 species